rnacentral:rRNA from 1 species
AAACAUGAGAGUUUGAUCCUGGCUCAGGAUGAACGCUGGCGGCGUGCCUAACACAUGCAAGUCGAACGGAGUUAUUAUUAUGAAGUUUUCGGAUGGAAUGAUAAUAACUUAGUGGCGGACGGGUGAGUAACGCGUGGGUAACCUGCCUCAUACAGGGGGAUAACAGCUGGAAACGGCUGCUAACACCGCAUAAGCAUACAGCAUCGCAUGAUGCAGUGUGAAAAUAU